rnacentral:rRNA from 1 species
AUUGAACGCUGGCGGCAUGCCUUACACAUGCAAGUCGAACGGUAACGGGCCUUCGGGUGCCGACGAGUGGCGAACGGGUGAGUAAUGUAUCGGAACGUACCUUUCAGUGGGGGAUAACGUAGCGAAAUUUACGCUAAUACCGCAUAUUCUGUGAGCAGUAAAGCAGGGGAUCGCAAGACCUUGCGCUGAUUGAGCGACCGAUGUCAGCUUAGCUAGUGGGUGAGGUAAAGGCUCACCAAGGCGACGAUCUGUAGCGGGUCUGAGAGGAUGAUCCGCCACACUGGGACUGAGACACGGCCCAGACUCGUCCGGGAGGCAGCAGUGGGGAAUUUUGGACAAUGGGGGCAACCCUGAUCCAGCCAUGCCGCGUGAGUGAAGAAGGCCUUCGGGUUGUAAAGCUCUUUCGGCCGGGAAGAAAUCGCACAGGCUAAUACCUUGGGUGGAUGACGGUACCGGAAUAAGAAGCACCGGCUAACUACGUGCCAGCCGCCGCCGUAAUAC